UACCCUAUUAUAAUAAGAGUUAAAAUUACGCUUGGGUAGUAGUAGUUAUGUUCUUGAAACCCAAAGAAUUUGGCGGUAUUUUAUUCCUUUCAGAGGAACCUGUUCUAUAAUUGAUAUUCCACGAUUUUAUUUACUUAUAUUUGUAGUCAGCUUUUAUAUCUCCGUCAUAAGAAUUUUUUUAUAGAAUUAAUUUUCUGGAUUAUUUAAUAUAAAUAUGUCAGGUCAAGGUGAAGUUAAUAUAUAAGAAAGAAAUGGGUUACAAUCAUUUUAUUGAAAUGAAUUUUUAUAUUUAUAUGUAAUUUGAAGGUGGAUUUGAAAGUAAAUUUAUUUAUUUAAUUUUUUGAUUCUUGGCUCUAAAUUAUGUACACAUCGCC
rnacentral:rRNA from 1 species